CUCAUAUUACCAGUAAAGUCAAUUUACCCAAAUAUGGGUAACUGAACUUUACCCAUAUUUGGCUGAAAAAUAAAAGUGUUUGUCAAAAACAGACUGAUCAACACGCUGGCGCAGGAACUUCUAAAAAAAACAGAUUUCAUUAAAAGGUCACAAUGAUGAAAGAUUCUCUUGAUCGCUUGCCACAUUCAGCACACGAACUCCUCCGUCCAGCAAGACCGAAUUCGGUUCCAGAACCUUCUCAUAAUCAACCACAAUCAAUAGCCCGGACUCUGUCAGGGACUCUGCUGGAUUACCACCGGUACCGUCUUUUCUUCAAAUAACCGGGCGGUAGCGCCGGGAGCAAGAAAAAACCUGUGUGAUUAACAAUUGGCAUCACUUGAGCAGGGAAGGUUUAAUAAAAUCCGAGAUAAAAUCCAUGUGAUUUGAAAAAGGCAAGCAAUUAAGACAAAUAGCAAUAAAUAGUUCAAUUGGUAACUUUUUUAUUAUAAUUUCAGGUCCCAAUGAUAAUGGAUAUCUUUGUACGAUAUCGCGAAUCGCCCAUGGAAUUUCCAUAUCAAGCUUUUGCAGCACUAAGUGUCCCCGAGCGUGUCCCUCAACAAUUCAUCCAGUCAUCAUAUAAACUGCGAACUCCAGAGAGGCCGAAUUUGGUUGUAGUGGCAAGGAAACGGUGAUCCGAUCAAAACUACUCUGAAUCAAUAGCCUGUUACAACAUUCCCAUAAAAAACAUCACGUGUGUUUUCCAUCAGUACUCCCCAACCAGAUCGACGAUUCCGAUUCUCCCGCACCAGAGCCAACCGCAACCCGUCUGAGCGACUCAUCCUGAUUAUACCGUCCGGAAGCGCCAAGCCAAUGCACAGAAGUCUGAACCUCUGGGAGUCGGAGUACAAUAGAUUAUUUAUAAGUGAGUAGAAUGUAACUAUCAAAGUUAAUAAAGUUUAAAUUAAGUAAAAAGAAAAACCAA